GUUUAACAAGUACAACACCGACACACUACUGGGGGACACCCUCCUCACUUUGCCUAUUCCCUUUGUCGCAGUUGAUUAUGAGAUCACCUACAGGAUAUACCAAUACAUCAAGUACGUAACUUAUUUAUGAGGAAUGUUUUAUAUAUAUACAUAUAUUAUAUCACUGUGAAUGUCCAUUUCAAAAGAGGUAUUAGUACCCUUUUUUUUCCUUUAAUCCGAUGGAUCGUAUCUAGUUGGAAAAGUACGAAUUAUCACCCUGAGCCGGCAGAGGCUGACUGCAAAGAUCGGCGACCGUGGAGGCAAGGGUGGCGCCGUCGAGGACGAGUGGCGCGCCAGCGGCUACGAGCCUCCUCU
rnacentral:lncRNA from 1 species